ACUUGUAUCGCGCGCCCGAUCUUGUCUGAUCUCGGAAGCUAAGCAGGGUCGGGCCUGGUUAGUACUUGGAUGGAGUCAUUUCUUACAGGAGGAGGAGAAAAACCAAAUU
rnacentral:rRNA from 1 species